rnacentral:rRNA from 1 species
GGCGAGCGGCGGACGGGUGAGUAAUGUCUGGGGAUCUGCCCGAUGGAGGGGGAUAACUACUGGAAACGGUGGCUAAUACCGCAUAAACUCUGAGGAGCAAAGGGUGGGACCGAUGAGGCCACUCACCACGAGGUGAACCCAGAUGGGAUUAGCUAGUAGGUAGGGUAAAGGCCUACCUAGGCGAUGAUCUCUAGCUGGUCUGAGAGGAUGACCAGCCACACUGGGACUGAGAUACGGCCCAG